rnacentral:tRNA from 4 species
GCGGACGUAGCUCAGUUGGUAGAGCAUCACCUUGCCAAGGUGAGGGUCGCGGGUUCGAAUCCCGUCGUCCGCU